GAACGUAUGGCUUAGUUGGUCAGAGCGCUUGAACGGUAUCCAAGAAGCGCGGGUUCAGACCCCGCUACGUCUA
rnacentral:tRNA from 1 species